GCGAGUCAUAUUUGUUUUGACCAUUUUCGCAGUGCUUUUCGAACUGCAAGCGCUAAUAUGUCCACCGCAGUUUACGCCUGUUGCCGGAAAGUGCAUCUUUGUCUCAAGAAAUAAGGUAAAUUGGUACGCGGCAGAUCGGAAAUGCCGGAAACUUGGAGGCAGUCUGCUGGUAUUCGAUUCUGAAGUCGAACAGAUCACAAUCACAGCUCAUCUGUUGACAAUAGGAGUGCCUUUCACUGGGCAAUGGGAAGACUGCAUUUGGGUGGGAAUUGAUGCCCAGGGAAAUGAUCAUAAUUUUGUGCUAUCCAAAAAUGGAGAUCCCCCUAAAUACACUCCCUGGGCCAAAAAACAACCAAGUGGUUAUUACAAAGACCUAUGCGGUUCCUUUGCCAAUUAUAGAUCGUGGGGCUACGUUAAUAACGAAUGCCUCUUCGAAGCUCUAUACGUUUGUGAAACGCAUGGAUUCGAGCCUUAAUUCGAUAUAUAUCAAAUGCCUGUUUCAAAUUAAACUUAUAAUCAACAUGA
rnacentral:sRNA from 1 species